rnacentral:tRNA from 1 species
GGUUGUGGCUUAGCGGUAGAGCGCUUGCCUAGCACAUGCAAGGCCCUGGGUUCAAUCCUCAGCACGCACCA